ensembl:lncRNA
CCUCCUUCCUCUCUCUCCCUCUCUCCCUCUGUCAGACGUGUGCUCUCACACUCGAUCGCUCAGUCUCCCGCUCUCCCCCUCCCUCGUUCCCCAUCCUCACACACACUCUCUCUCUCUCUCUCUGUCACACACACACACACACACACACAUACACACACACACCCUAUCAGCGGAAGGUGCUGGCAGUAGCAGCAGAGGAAGAAGGGAUGCAGGCGUGUGAAUGAGUGAGCGUCCUCCUUCAGCGUGGAUUUACUGAACAAAAGAGGAGCAGCGUCUCUCUUUUUAUUUCUGCUUCCAUCUUUUUUCCUCCUCCGUCUCUCAUCCAUCGGCUUGCUGGUGCUGGUGGUGCUGGUGGUCUUGUUGUUUUUCGAGGCUGGAGGAGGACGGAGGACGGAGGACGAGUGCCCCUGCCUUCUGUUUCCUGCUUCACAUUCGCACUUGUUCAGUGUUUUUUGAGGUCGCCUCCUCCUCGAGGACUGCACUCGUUUUUUUCGUGUUCUCUCUUUCCCAGCGGAGGCCUUUUGUCUCGGUGCGGCGUUGAACGGAGCUAUUGUUGGACACACAGGCCUCGCGCUGCUCUCUCUCUCUCUCUCUCUCUCUCCUUCUCUCUCUCCCUCCGCAGUAUCCUUCCCUCCCUCCCUCCCUCCCUCCCUCUUACUCCAUCCUCUCAUUCCGAGGCACCUUGCUUAAAUCCGGUAUCCAUCCUUCUGUCCAUCAUUCUUAAUGUGUGUUCUGCGGAGUGUGUAUCCCGAUGUUUGGCUUCGGGUCAUCCGGAUUGGCUCAAGCCGAGCCUGUGUGUCGUUCCUAGUGUGUGUGUGCGUGUGUGUGUGUGCGGGUGUGUGUGAAGAAACCAUGCAUCUAGCCUGAUGCCAGGACCGGGGUGCCCCAUUCCAAUGUGGGAGGACUAAAGCGUCACAUUUGCACCCCCCUUCCUCCCUACCCCUUUACCCCCUUGCUCCCUCACCCCCUUUUUGCCCCGUUCCCGUCCUGUCCCCUCCAACGCAACGAUGAAGAAAACGCGCAACCUGCGGCGGGCAUGGCCCGGUCCGGACGGACCCGAUUUGGGCUCCGAUCGCGACAAGGACUACCGGCUCCACAAGCACUUCCCCCCUUCUCUCCCCCCUCUUGCGCCCUACAUCGCUCAAGGUGGGUGCAACUUAUAUUAGCCUAGUGUCCAAAUUUUUUUUUUUUAAAGCCUAUAGUGUAAAUGCUCAUCUAAUAUGUGUGUAUAUAAAAAAUAGAAAUACAUAGUUCUGUUUUUUUUCUCUCUUACACACACACAUUGCUAGCCUGCUAGCAUCCUGGCUUCUAGCUCUAGUGUCUGGGCCUGGUUCUGUUUUUCUCUACUAGAGUGUGUUUGUUACAAAAAAAAGGGGUGUGUGUGUGUGUGUGUGUGUGCUGAUGUUCGUGUCUUUCCUGAAUGAUAUCAAGGUGUAGAGAUAAGAUAAUGAGAGGGGGAAAAAAACAGGAAGCAUACAAGCCCUCAUCCACCAUUUUGGUCCUUGGCUUGGGAAUUACAUCACCGAGGUUGUGGAUAAAAAUUCAAGCUGCCGGCCUCCGUGUUCUCGUCUCAGCUCCUUUUCAUGACUAGGAUGAAAACGAGAGCAGAGAGAAUGAGAGAGAGAGAGAGAGAAAGAUAUUUCAUGAGAGAGAGCGUGAGAGAGAGAGAAGGGGAAGAAAAAUGGAGUGGAGAAGGACCUAGCGUCCGUUUUUUUCCCUCCAUUUUGGUGAUGGCUGCAUCGUCCUGGUGUGUGUUAGCGCAGGACAGUUGGGGUGAUUAGCAUCGGCCAUGGUGCGGUGACGAAACUCCGUGUCAAACGUCACUUCGGUCCGAUAGUGAGAAGGAGGACUGACGAGAGAGACAGAGAGGAAGUGGAGAGUCUGCUCAAUGUCUCUGUUUUCUCUGUGUCUCACUACACACUUGAAAACCAGUCUCCGUUUUUGUUAGCAUAAUGUGCGUGUGUGUGUUAGCAUGUGACGGUGUGUAAGUGUAGUAGUGUGUGUGUGUAUCCUCGUGUGCUGCCAGGAGAGAGGGUGGGUGGAGAGAGUUAGCCUAGCUGACGUCGUUAGCUUACAGGCUAACCCUCUGCGCACUUGCUGCUAGCAUGCUAGACCCAAAGUCGCUGUCGUAGCACAGUGGAGUCUUAAGUAUCAUCGUUUCGUAUUUUGUAAUUUGUUUCUAAUAAUCGUAUCGCUGAGAUUAAUUCGAACGAGAGGAUUUUUGUAGAAGGCAUACGCUCUGUGUUUAGCUUCGUGUAUAAAAUUCUAACAUUGUAACAACAUGUUUACACUGUCUUACUGAUGAGUGUAAUGUUUACUGAACUGGCAACCAAAUAAAAAAAAAUAAUAAAAAAACAGGAUCCAUUUUUAUUGUUUGGGCCUUUGCAGUGUUUCAUUCGAAGCAGUGUGUUUUAGCGCUGAUUAUAAAAAAAAUAUAUUUUAAAGUAUUGUGUUGAAUAAUUUGUCAUUCGGUUUAUCCUGAGGUAAUAUUUUCGUUGUUUUAUGUUCUGUUUUUCGUGCCUGAAAAUCUUCUGCGUCACGUUUCGUUUGUAGCACAUUGGAUCACUUAUCAUAUUAGCACGAUACCAGACUAACAAAUAAAAGAACUGAUGUUAGAAAUAGAUUUUUUUUUUGCACCCAAUGUCAAAUAUUACCUCAGGAACUGCACAGUAACUAGGCUAAUUGCAAAACUGUAAAUAGGGUAAGCCAUGAACCAGCAUUAAGCAAUGCUGCUUUGUGUGUAAACCAUUCUGUACAAUGCUAGUUUGUUUGUUACGCAUUCUCUACAAUGCUAGUUUGUCCAUUUUACAGUAAUGAAACUUCAUGAGGUAAUGUUUCUCUAUGUAAUAUGUAGCUGUUCAGCAUCACUUUGCUUUUGUAGCACAUCAGGUCAACACGUUAGCAUUAUACGAAACCAACAAAUAAUAUAAAACGGAUAUUAGACAGAUGUUUUGACUCAUUGUUCUACAGGAACUUUCAGUCACUAAACAUUAUACAAUGUAUAAAAAAUAUUACCUCAUGACCAUUGCAGUACCAGGCUAAUUACAGACUAGCACUGCUGCAAACAGACGAACUAACAAAUUAGCGUUAUUUAUAUAUAAGUUUAAUUGCUAAAUAAUCACACAGACCUGGGGUGUUGUUUAGCUGCUAAGACACAAAAACAAGCUAUUUAAAAAAAAUUAAACUAGCUUUAACUAUAAAGCAAUUUUGUGGUUAAUCUUUUUACAGUGUGUAUGUGUGCCAUCAAAAAAAGUUUUGAUCUAAUAUUUGAUCAUUUUCUGUCAGAAAAUAUACAAAAUACAAAAACAGCACCUCAUGAAAUGCCAUUAUAGUAAACAGGCAAACAAAUGAACUAGCAUUGUAGGAAGCACUUACACUCAAUCCCUAAUUUUGUAAGUCUUAGUCCUAAUUUGCUGGCCUUGCAUAACACUAAUGUUUUGACACAGUGCGGAAAGUAAUAUGCAACAUUUUGUGUCAUAAAAUAUACGACAUUAGAACAUUACCUCAUGACCUACCAUUUAGUAAAUAACUAAAAUGAACUAGCAUUGUAGAGAAUAGCUAACACACAAACUUGUAUUACUGCAACAAAAAUAACGGAUUAAUUAGCUGGUUUGCCUUUAGCAAAAUUAGCCUAAGAUAAGCCUGGUGUCUUAGCCUGGCUACUUCAGUGCUAGUUCAUAGCUUAUCCUAUUUAUAACAAUAUCAAUUUAUAACAAUGCUAAUAAGUAGCUUUUGUUGUCCUGUGGUGCUAGUUCAUUCGCCAGUUUAUUGUCAUGUUCAUGCUGCACUGCAAUUGUAAAAUGGAAAUUUUGUGACUGAAAUGUUCUGUCCCGUUGCCUUUGUACUAUUAUGCUAGGUUAAUGGUUAGCUUAUUUACUGUAAAACUAGUUUGUUAGUUAGCCUAGCAUAAUAUUAUGCUAGUUGUAGGUUAGCCUAAUUACUAUAAUGCUAGUUUGUGGGAUAGUCUUUUUUUUACCAUAAUGCUAGUUUGUGGUUUAGUCUUGUUACUGUACCACUCGUUAAUAUUUUAGGUGUUUAGUAUGUUAGUUUAUGGGUUACCCAGUUUAUUAUAAUGCUACUUUGUUUACUUUAAUGCUAUCUGGCUUGUUAUUAUAUAAUGCUAAUAUCUCAAUUAGCCUGUUUACAAUAAUUCUAGUUAAUGGGUACCGUUAAUUUUAAUACUAGUUAAAAUGGCUUAUUGUUAAUGUUAGUUUGUGGAUUAGCGUAUUUACUGUAAUGCUGAAUUUUCUGUUAGCCUGUUCACUGGAAUGCUAGCUGGUGGUUAGACUGUUUGUUGCAGUAAAUGUUUUUUUUGUUGUUGUUGUUAUUGUUGUUUUUAAUUGUUAGUUCAUGGAUUAAUCUGUUUAUUAACAUGGUGGUUGUUCCUAUGGACGCUGUUUUUCAGGCUUUCCCUACAUUCACACUAGCAAAUGACUAGACUUUAUUCUCCUAAAGUUAAGUAUUAUGCAGGAAACGAAACUGGCUCGUAUGAUUCCUCAGAUAUCUGCAGUUAGUUCCUAUUUACUGUUUACACAAACAUGGAAGAAAAAUUCAAAAAUCUUAUCCUGUCAUACACAACCUCUCAUUAAAAUGUGUAUAGAGACAAUGCGGCGAGAAAUAAAGCUUGGAAGGGAGUAGCAGAGAUCGUUGGUGCAUCUGGUGAGUGUACGUACCUAGACCAGGUAUCUUGCUAGGACGAAAAUCAAAAACACCAAAUCCAAUUUUCACACUGAUUCAAUUUGUAACUAGUCAGCUUUAAAAGAUCAUAAUAAAGAUCAUAAUAAAUAUCAUAAUAAAGAUCAUUAUAAAGAUCAUAAUAGGAUCAUAAUAAAGAUCAUAAUAAGAUCAUAAUAAGAUCAUAAUUUUUCUAAUCAUAGCUUCUUUUUUGCUAUUCUUGGCUUAGUAGCAUGCUUAGAUCAGCCUUUGUUGUGUGUAUGCGUGUGCGUGUGUGUGUGUGUGUUUUCUGGGUCUCCUUUGUGUAACAUGAAUGCCAGCUGUGUGUACACACUCCUCACCUGUACAGCGGCCUUGUACCUCUCCUCACUCUCUUACCCUUCAUCAUGCCAUUAUUAUUUAUUUUUCCCAUAAGCCUAUUCCCACUGAUCGCUGAGUCAGUUUGCCUUCUGAUAUUCAAAGAAACGUGUGUGUGUGUGCGUGUGUGUGUGUGUGUAUGUGUGUGUGUGUGUGUGUUUAUACAGCAGACAUUUAAUGUAGGAUCAAAUCACUGGUAUUGUGGACGCAUUAUUGUUCGACAUCCUAAUCAGUUAACGAGUGUGUGCUGAGAAUCAGCUAUACGAUACUUUAUGGUAAAUUAUAUGAUCUACGGGCUCAGUAGUAUUAUUAUAUUGUUAUUGUUAGACUUUUUUUAUUUAAUUUAUUUUUUUUACUUUUUGUGAAUCAAAAAAUAUCAUGAGGUGUGACUAUUUCAUUGUGUGUGAAAUUUCAGGCAUAAAUAUAACCAUAGGCUCUUGCUGUGUGUCCAUCUAACACACACACACACACACACACACACACACACACACACACUGUCCCAGCUGCAGUAGAGCCUGUGAUUUAGGCGUGGGAGAAAAAGGAGGCCACGGUGGUGCAUUAAUAGCCGAGCCUCUGUAGUAACACGCGUAAAAGAGCGAAUGAGUGAGUGAGGGAGGGAAGGAGAGUACAAGGGAUAGUGAGGAAGGAGGGAGGGAUGGAGAGAGAGAUGCCAUGUGUGUAACUGCAAUCUCCACCUCCAGUUAGCUACGGUUUAGCUGUCACAUUUAUGGUUUUUGACCUUUUGCAACAGCGGAGACGUCUAAAAACUACGCUUUUCUCUUUUUUCAGCUAAAACAGCAGUCAGAUUAAAACUAAUCAAAUUUACCCGACUGACUGAAGGGGAAAGGACGCGGGAUGUGAAAUACAGGUACUUUCACGUCUCGUGUCCUGAACUUUUGUCUUACUGGUUUCUUACUAUUGAUUGGCUGAAGAAAAUCGGUCUCAUCCAUUGUUCUGUGGUAAAUGUACGUUGUUGUUUUUUGCUCAGAGCUUGCUGGGAGUUUCGUAUGGAAUACUAUAGUGUAUGUAACACUUAAGUUUACAGAAUACUAAAAUGUACAGAAUACUGAAGUCUACAGUGUACUGUUGUUUACAGAGUACCGAAGUACGCAGAAUACUGAAGUGCACUUCAUAUUGUAGUGUAUGGAAUACUGUAGUAUACAGACAACUGAAGUGUUUGUAAUACUGAAGCAGGUCUAAUAUUGUAGUGUAUGGAAUAUGGAAGACUAUGGAAUACUGAAGCGGACAUAAUAUCGUAGCAGAUGGAAUACGGAAGUGUAUGGAACGAUGUGGUGUAGCGAAUACAGGCGUGAGCGGAAGUACUGACACGUAUGGAAUACUGAAGUGUACAGAAUACUGAAAAGUGUAAUGCUGUAGUGUAGAUAAUAAGGUAGGUUAGGGAGUACUGAAGUGUAAGGAAUGAUGACGUGUACACAAUACUGAAGUGUAGGGAAGGACUGAAGUAUGCGGAAUACUGACGUGUACAUAAUAAUGUAGUGCACGGAAUACUGAAGUCUAAGGGGUAAUGAAGCAUUGGGAAUACUGAAGUGUCAGGAAUACUGAAGUAUACAGAAUGCUAAAGUAUAUGGAAUGAUAAAGUAUAUGGAGCGAUGAAGUGUAGGGAAUACUGAAGUGUGCGGAAUACUGAAGUGUAGGUAAUACUAUAGUGUAUGGAAUAUUGAAGCGUAUGGAAUCCUGAAGUGUAUGGAAUACUGAAGCGUAUGGAAUCCUGAAGUGUAUGGAAUACUGAAGCGUAUGGAAUCCUGAAGCGUAUGGAAUACUGAAGUGUAUGGAAUACUGAAGCGUAUGGAAUCCUGAAGUGUAUGGAAUACUAUAGUCUAUGGAAUACCAAAUACAAUUUUUUCUAGAGACUUUUCUAAUACUUUAAUGUAGGUAAUACUGUAGUGUAGGGAAUACUGAUGUGUACAGAAUACUAUAGUGUAGGGAAUUCUAUAUCUGAAAUACUGAAGUGUACAAAAUAUUGUAGUGUAUGGAAUAUUGAAGCAUAUGGAAUACUGAAGCGUAUGGAAUCCUGAAGUGUAUGGAAUAUUGAAGCGUAUGGAAUACUGAAGCGUAUGGAAUACUGAAGUGUAUGGAAUACUGAAGCGUAUGGAAUCCUGAAUCAUAUGGAAUAAUGAGGUGUACAGAAUACUGAACUGUACACAGUAGUGAAGUGUGUGGAAUGAUGAAGUGUAUGGAAUACUAUAGUCUAUGGAAUACCAAAUACAAUUUUUUCUAGAGACUUUUGUAAUACUUUAAUGUAGGUAAUACUGUAGUGUAGGGAAUACUGAAGUGUACAGAAUACUAUAGUGUAGGGAAUUCUAUAUCUGAAAUACUGAAGUGUACAAAAUACUGUAGUGUAUGGAAUACUGGAGUGUGUGUAAUGGUGAAGUGUACGGAAUACUGGAGUGUGUGUAAUGGUGAAGUGUAGGGAAUAAUAUAGUGUAUGGAAUACUGAAGUGUAUGGAAUACUGGAGUGUGUGUAAUGGUGAAGUGUAGGGAAUACUGGAGUGUGUGGAAUACUAUAGUGUAUGGAAUACUGGAGUGUGUGGAAUACUGGAGUGUGUGUAAUGGUGAAGUGUAGGGAAUACUGGAGUGUGUGUAAUGGUGAAGUGUACGGAAUACUGGAGUGUGUGUAAUGGUGAAGUGUACGGAAUACUGGAGUGUGUGUAAUGGUGAAGUGUAGGGAAUACUGGAGUGUGUGUAAUGGUGAAGUGUAGGGAAUACUAUAGUUUAUGGAAUACUGAAGUGUACGGAAUACCGGAGUGUUCCGUACUGUACUGGAGUGAAGCUAUACUGGCUUAGAAUUUUCUAAUGACUAGCGUUAGCUUAAUUUACUGUGGUGCAGUCAUUUGUUAAGGCUAACAUUAGCUCAUUUUAAUAAAUCACUUCCAUUUUGAAUAACGCACUCUCAUGGAAAAGAACUGGAAGCUAAGUCAGAUUUGCAUGUGCUCUCAGCCAUAAUUGUUUUUCUUUUGCCUCCGAUUUGCUUGACUGAGACCCUAUAUGUGAAUUUCUGCCCUCUUCAGAUUGAGUUAUUAAACUGACUCUCCAUUUGACAUCACUUUGAAAAUGUUCCAGAAAAAUACUGACAGAAAUACCAAUCGCCUUUAUUUUUGUCUACGUUAUCAGUAAUGUCAUAAUUAUUUCAACGGUACUUAUGUGAUAAUCUUACAGUCCUCAAUAGACCUUGAGCUUUAAAAAGGCUAAAACAGAC